CAGAAUGUGAGCAAAACAACAAACAUGGCACGUCUGAUGUGCGAUGCGAUCGCAGAUAUUUAUGUUCUAAUUUCCUAAAGAGUGACUAUCAGAUGCUCUAAAAUAUUUUUCACGUACGCUUUGUUACUGCGAUUGUCUAUUAUGGCGCUUCUCGUGAGGGCAAUGCCAGUGUCACCAAAAAUGAGUAUCCGUGGAAGUUUUCACCCUUCAUUAUCCCUCUCGACGGAUGAACCAUCAAGUGGCAGUAUUGUUUACACCAGUUUGUCUGACCAGAACGAGGGUUAUGAUGCCCAUUACUAACCUUCCUCAAUAAGGCACAAGUUCUUUAGUGCUCCUUGCCGUCAAUGUCUUCUGGGCGACAAUCAAUCAUCCUAAAGAACCCGUUUCUCUCUGCAGCAGCAUUUUUAAUGGUUGAUUCUCUGCCAUUCAAUAGAAGUAUGUAUUCAAGUAGCUCACCUGUCUCACUUCCACCCCUGUAGCAGUUAUUCUAAUUACUGGCCCAUUCUAUCAGUAGAAAAUACCCUGAACUUCAA